rnacentral:lncRNA from 1 species
UGUAGGAUAUGUGGGAGCUCUUAAAAGAGCAACCUUGAAAUACCACCCUUUUGUUCAAUUUGCUCUAACUUUAUAUUCGUCAGGUCGCUACGCGAAUUUUUGCAACUUGGUGCAACGGCGUACGCAGCCGCAACUUUCUAUUUUUUUGAGCUUCUUUGCUGUUUAGCAAAGAUAUUUACUUUUUGUACAUAAAUACUAAAAAGCAAGCACAAGGCAGCUUAUCAAAAGGGAGGACGUGAUAGGUGGGUAGUUUCAUUGGAGCGAUGGCUUUAAUUUAUGGAGCCUUACUGUGGAAACACAGUCAAGCAAUUCUGGCUAUAUGCCGGAACAUCCGUAUGGCACAUGUGGGGCUAAAGCUUACGAGGUCGCGCUUUGCUUUACUAAUUACCUGCUUAGCAGGUUCUAUAGCGAAGGACUAGAUUUAGCUAAUACAUCGUGAUCAUGAGCGAUAAUUAAAAAAGACACGGCAGCCCCCCAGUUUGCGAAUAAACAAAAAUAGCGAGAGCAAAGUGUGCCUCCCUAAAAAUGUAAAAAUAUUUUAGUAAAGUGGACAAUCGGUAGGGAAGUUAUUAAAAGUUGUACCUCGCCUUGCAAUGGGGGCCGUAGGCAUACGCCAUUGCCCUUCCGAAGCCUCCUCUAGCGGCUUAGCUUCGGCCAUGUGCUUGUCUACU